UACGAAUGGUCCAAGCGUUGUUCGGAAUCAUUGGGCUUAAAGAGCACGUAGGCGGGAGCUUAAGUGUCUUGUGAAAUCCCUCGGCUUAACCGAGGAACUGCAUGGCAUACUGGGCUCCUUGAGGCAAGUAGGGGUGUGUGGAACUACAGGUGGAGCGGUGAAAUGCGUAGAUAUCUGUAGGAACGCCAGCAGAGAAGUCGGCGCACUGGGCUUGUUCUGACGCUGAGGUGCGAAAGCGUGGGGAGCGAAGAGGAUUAGAUACCCCCGUA
rnacentral:rRNA from 1 species